GGAAGUAAAAAUCGUAACAAGGUUUCCGUAGGUGAACCUGCGGAAGGAUCAUUACAGCGUUUUAGGUGCGGUGCGCCCCGUUCUCGCGGUCAGCGCGCCCCCGAAAACCCCACCCUUGAAUACUAGACCUUCUGUUGCUUCGGCGGGCCCGCCCCUGGGCCGCCGGGGGGUUUUUCCCCCUGGCCAGCGCCCGCCGAGGAAGAAUCUGAACCCUUUGUUAGUGUAUGGCUGUCUGAGUGAUUUGUGAAUCGUUAAAACUUUCAACAAUGGAUCUCUUGGUUCCGGCAUCGAUGAAGAACGCAGCGAAAUGCGAUAAGUAAUGUGAAUUGCAGAAUUCCGUGAAUCAUCGAAUCUUUGAACGCACAUUGCGCCCCCUGGUAUUCCGGGGGGCAUGCCUGUCCGAGCGUCAUUGCAACCUUCAAGCGCGGCUUGUGUGUUGGGCCUCGUCCCCCCGUGGACGGGCCUUAAAGGCAGUGGCGGCGCCCGAAUCUGGUGCCCGAGCGUAUGGGAAUCUUUCUUCCGCUCAACGUGGCCCGGCGGGUGGCUGGUCUUCUUAACCAAAGGACCUGGCGUCCUUUUCACCGGUUGACCUCGGAUCAGGUAGGGAUACCCGCUGAACUUAAGCAUAUCAAAAAGCCGGAGGA
rnacentral:sRNA from 1 species